rnacentral:rRNA from 1 species
AGUAACGGCGAGUGAAGCGGCAACAGCUCAAAUUUGAAAUCUGGCCUCUUUGGGGUCCGAGUUGUAAUUUGUAGAGGAUGUUUCGGGUACCGCUCCGGUUUAAAUUUCUUGGAACAGAAUGUCAGAGAGGGUGAGAAUCCCGUCUUGGACCGGUGGUAGGACCUAUGUGAAACUCCUUCGACGAGUCGAGUUGUUUGGGAAUGCAGCUCAAAAUGGGUGGUAAAUUUCAUCUAAAGCUAAAUAUUGGCCAGAGACCGAUAGCGCACAAGUAGAGUGAUCGAAAGAUGAAAAGCACUUUGAAAAGAGAGUUAAACAGUAUGUGAAAUUGUUGAAAGGGAAGCGCUUGCAACCAGACUUGAGCGCGACGGUUCCCCCUUCCUUUUGGUUGGGUUACUCCGUCGUGUCCAGGCCAACAUCGGUUUUGGGGGUUGGUUAAAGGCGCCUUGAAUGUAUCUACCCUUCGGGCGUAGACUUAUAGCUCGGCGUGUCAUGCGACCUCCCGGGACCGAGGUGUCAGCGACCCGUCUUGAAA